rnacentral:tRNA from 1 species
GGGGAGAUACCAAAGCGGCCAACUGGAACAGACUGUAAAUCUGUCGUCUUAUGACUUCGAAGGUUCGAAUCCUUCUCUCCCCACAA